CCUACGGGAGGCAGCAGUGGGGAAUCUUGCGCAGUGGCCGAAAGGCUGACGCAGCGACGCCGCGUGCGGGAGGAAGCCCUUCGGGGUGUAAACCGCUGUCGGGAGGGACGAAAGCCUGGGGGAGGGAAUGCCCCUGGGAAGGACGGUACCUCCAGAGGAAGCACCGGCUAACUCCGUGCCAGCAGCCGCGGUAAU
rnacentral:rRNA from 1 species